rnacentral:rRNA from 1 species
GAUGAACGCUGGCGGCGUGCCUAAUACAUGCAAGUCGAGCGAACAGAUGAGGAGCUUGCUCCUCUGACGUUAGCGGCGGACGGGUGAGUAACACGUGGAUAACCUACCUAUAAGACUGGGAUAACUUCGGGAAACCGGAGCUAAUACCGGAUAAUAUAUUGAACCGCAUGGUUCAAUAGUGAAAGACGGUUUUGCUGUCACUUAUAGAUGGAUCCGCGCCGCAUUAGCUAGUUGGUAAGGUAAAGGCUUACCAAGGCAACGAUGCGUAGCCGACCUGAGGGGGGGAUCGGCCACACUGGAACUGAGACACGGUCCAGACUCCUACGGGAGGCAGCAGUAGGGAAUCUUCCGCAAUGGGCGAAAGCCUGACGGAGCAACGCCGCGUGAGUGAUGAAGGUCUUCGGAUCGUAAAACUCUGUUAUUAGGGAAGAACAAAUGUGUAAGUAACUAUGCACGUCUUGACGGUACCUAAUCAGAAAGCCACGGCUAACUACGUG